CCAAAUUCAUCUUGCAAUUGACAUCUCUGAUUAUAAAGUAAGCUUCAGCAACACACACAAGCUUCAUGUAUAUCUACAAAGUAAUGGGUAUUAUAAUAUGAAACAUACUCGGUGACAAAACACCUUCACACAGAGAAAAAAGUUAUGCAUAAAGCAACAAUAAAGAUAGAUAGCAAGACUAUUUCCGAAAUCAUGUCGAUUUCAAGGUGGCUUCGUUUCAAUGGUGAGCAAUACAUUUACCAUAGAUUUGGUCUAGCCUUUUCAUCGAACACCUGAUCUGCAGCCACCAAAUAGACUUUGAUUAUCAUUAAAAAUUCUAUCAAGCUGAAAAACUAAACGUAAGUAAAAGAAUAAAGAUUCAGCAAUUCCAUUUUUUUGCCAAAUAAAAACCUUUAGAUAUAACUUACCGAGAGAUGCUUAUAUGAAUAGAUAGGUUAGGGUUUGAGUUGCGGAGGCAGAGAAGGAUCAGUGUCAGAACUUCAAACUGAUUAAAACGAAAGUUGCAAUUCAAAGUUUGAUUCUUGGAUCAAUUGGAAAGAUAAAGGUCUACCUCUUGAUAAGAUGCGUGUUAUGGGUUACUUUUCAACUUCCGAAAUUGCAGGUAAAUUGAUUCAGUUUCUUUGAUUUUCCUUUAAUAAUCACAUUGAAUUAAAUAUGGGUUACUUUUCAACUUUAAUCUACGUCGAAUUUGUCGAUAAUUUCUCACUUUGAAUUAGACAUUCGUUACUUUUCAACUUCAAUUUGCAAUUGAAUCGAACUGUUUGUUGGAACUUGGAAAGGCUACUGAAUGUAUAAGAUUUAGGGCUAUAUUCGUUGUUCAAUUUCCG
rnacentral:lncRNA from 1 species